GAUGAACGCUAGCUACAGGCUUAACACAUGCAAGUCGAGGGGCAGCAUGGUCUUAGCUUGCUAAGGCCGAUGGCGACCGGCGCACGGGUGAGUAACGCGUAUCCAACCUGCCUUACACUCUUGGACAGCCUUCUGAAAGGGAGAUUAAUACAAGAUGUUAUCAUGAGUAAGCAUUUUCACAUGAUUAAAGGUUUACCGGUGUAAGAUGGGGAUGCGUUCCAUUAGAUAGUAGGCGGGGUAACGGCCCACCCAGUCUUCGAUGGAUAGGGGUUCUGAGAGGAAGGUCCCCCACAUUGGAACUGAGACACGGUCCAAACUCCUACGGGAGGCAGCAGUGAGGAAUAUUGGUCAAUGGACGAGAGUCUGAACCAGCCAAGUAGCGUGAAGGAUGAAGGUUCUAUGGAUUGUAAACUUCUUUUAUACGGGAAUAAACGAAUCCACGUGUGGAUUUUUGCAUGUACCGUAUGAAUAAGGAUCGGCUAACUCCGUGCCAGCAGCCGCGGUAAUACGGAGGAUCCGAGCGUUAUCCGGAUUUAUUGGGUUUAAAGGGAGCGUAGAUGGGUUGUUAAGUCAGUUGUGAAAGUUUGCGGCUCAACCGUAAAAUUGCAAUUGAUACUGGCAGUCUUGAGUACAGUUGAGGUAGGCGGAAUUCGUGGUGUAGCGGUGAAAUGCUUAGAUAUCACGAAGAACUCCGAUUGCGAAGGCAGCUUACUAACCUGUAACUGACAUUGAUGCUCGAAAGUGUGGGUAUCAAACAGGAUUAGAUACCCUGGUAGUCCACACGGUAAACGAUGAAUACUCGCUGUAGGCGAUAUACAGUCUGCGGCCAAGCGAAAGCAUUAAGUAUUCCACCUGGGGAGUACGCCGGCAACGGUGAAACUCAAAGGAAUUGACGGGGGCCCGCACAAGCGGAGGAACAUGUGGUUUAAUUCGAUGAUACGCGAGGAACCUUACCCGGGCUUAAAUUGCAACCGAAUAUGGCGGAAACGCUAUAGCUAGCAAUAGCGGUUGUGAAGGUGCUGCAUGGUUGUCGUCAGCUCGUGCCGUGAGGUGUCGGCUUAAGUGCCAUAACGAGCGCAACCCUUGCCGAUAGUUACUAACAGGUCAUGCUGAGGACUCUGUCGGGACUGCCAUCGUAAGAUGUGAGGAAGGUGGGGAUGACGUCAAAUCAGCACGGCCCUUACGUCCGGGGCUACACACGUGUUACAAUGGGGGGUACAGAGGGCUGCUACCACGCAAGUGGAUGCCAAUCCCAAAAACCUCUCUCAGUUCGGAUUGAAGUCUGCAACCCGACUUCAUGAAGCUGGAUUCGCUAGUAAUCGCGCAUCAGCCACGGCGCGGUGAAUACGUUCCCGGGCCUUGUACACACCGCCCGUCAAGCCAUGGGAGCCGGGGGUACCUAAAGUGCGUAACCGCAAGGAGCGCCCUAGGGUA
rnacentral:rRNA from 1 species